AAAAGGGUUUUUUUUAAAACCCUAAAUAUAUAAUAAUAAAGCUUUG
rfam:Erythranthe guttata cultivar DTN x IM62 scaffold_7_contig_18, whole genome shotgun sequence.